rnacentral:rRNA from 1 species
AUUGAACGCUGGCGGCAGGCCUAACACAUGCAAGUCGAACGAGUGGCGGACGGGUGAGUAAUGUAUGGGAAUCUGCCUGAUGGAGGGGGAUAACUACUGGAAACGGUAGCUAAUCCCGCAUACACUCGGAUGAGCCCAUAUGGGAUUAGCUCGUAGGUGGGGUAAAGGCUCACCUAGGCGACGAUCCCUAGAUGGUCUGAGAGGAUGACCAGCCACACUGGAACUGAGACACGGCCCAGACUCCUACGGGAGUCAGCAGUGGGGAAUAUUGCACAAUGGGCGCAAGCCUGAUGCAGCCAUGCCGCGUGUAUGAAGAAGGCCUUAGGGUUGUAAAGUACUUUCAGCGGGGAGGCGUUACCCGCAGAAGAAGCACCGGCUAACUCCGUGCCAGCAGCCGCGGUAAUAC